ensembl:lncRNA
AUCUAUAUAUUUAUCCCCUUUUCUAUAGACUACUAUCACCCCAAUUACUAAUUGUUGUUUGCCGUCUCCCUUUCCUGUUAUACUAGAUUUUGCCUGGAUUCUGCAAAGCAAAACCGCCAGAAGGUCGCAGUGAACUGGUCCAACUUCACCCUCAAAAAGGUUCAUUCAAACACAGCUCAAUAACUUGGAAAAGUGCCAGAUAAAAAAACUCCUUAAACGCGCUCCCCCGUUUGGCCCGAGGCCCUGCUUUCAUUCCUGUUUCUCUUCUCCGCUCCAAGCCAAGGGACCCUGUUACAAUUGUCUCUUUUCCAUUCAGAAGACUGAAAUACUUAAAAGACUCAUCAGCGAGGGACGGUUCGCGAGGCCAAGCUUGCCCUUUGAUAUCUUUGCAUUGUUCACCAAGUGAGAGGUGCAAAAUGAGAAAAGAAAAACCUGUUUAAUCUACUGCAUCCAUGCGCUUCAUUAUGUAGUAAUGUAAACACUUCCCGUUUCAUGAAAUAAAUAUGUUUUUAUCACAAAAGUUUUUAUCUUGGGAACUUUUAACAUGGUGCUCUAAAAGUACUGUAUUGCUCUUCGAUUUUAUAUUGUGUUGCAGUUUUGUAGCAUAUAUCCUGCUCGAUCUUGAUCACAGACUACUUUCAUAAAGAAAUUACAUUAAUUUAAACAAUGUUUCUUCAUGAAAGUAGGCUACUUCGCAUGAAAGGGAUAAACUAUUCUCCUGUUAUGUGCGGGGGUGCUAGCUUUCUGGUCUGAUGAGGGUUAUAGCUCUGUGUGCCAAUCUUGCCCGCUUAAUGUCUCCCUCUCAAGCCCAACACCAUGUAUUCUCUCCAAUUGAAAAUGUAUCACUCACAAUAGGAUGGGACAUGACACUUGCCUAAUACAUGUACUCCUUUUUUUUAUUUUUAAGUAAAGUGAAAUGUUUGCUCCUCCUGGAAACACAUUUGCCAUGUUGGCACCGACAAAAGUAAUAUAAACACUUAAAUGGGCCAUGUAGCGUAAAUCAAUGGCCUCAUAUGUUCAAUGUGAUGAGUUUCAUUUAGAUUGUCAUGCAUGAUCUAUGGAAUGAAUGCUCCUGCAUCACAUUUUGGACAUUACUCUGCAUGAUGUUUGAUUCUAAGAAAGGAUACCCCUAUAAUAUCCUUCCUUAAAAUCCAACACAUUCUUAACUUUCCGGUCAAUUCAUAGAGAAUAGUGCAAAGUACAUCCACCCAUUAUUCUACACGUUCAUUCUAAGGGACGCAGAUACACUAGGGAGAAGACCUUUUUUGUUUGGGGAGUACACCAUCACUUUAGGGUUUCCAAGACAUUGUUGGAUUGUAAGAAACAUGUUUGGGGGUUGGUACUGUAUAAACCAAUGCUAAAACAAUGCUACCUUUUUUUCCUCCCACAGCCCAUUGACGUCCGUGGUGUCCUGCAUCUCGUACAUCUUGCUUUCAUGCUUGUUAUUCUGCUCUUUUAUGAGGACAGACUCCAAAAUGAUACGUUUUUGAGGAUCAGCCUUGAUUGAUGAGGAAUAUGUCAUUUAGGUGUAUAGUCCUUAAAUUCUGCCGAAGUUUUGUCCGUACAAUAUCUGAUGCUUUCCAAGCUAUACUCAACUAGAUGCUAUCUUAAUGUUUUGGAAUGUAGAUUUAUAAUAUACCAGUUAUAGCUGAGUGUAUGUUGGC